AUUUAAAUAGUUUAAUAAAAAUAUUGAUUUGUGGAAUCAAAGAUAUGUCAGUCAUUUUAGAUA
rnacentral:tRNA from 1 species